CUUAAAUCUGCUUAUUCAAGAAGUUUUGAUUCACGGGUUGCAGAAAAUUGAAGGUUCAUCAUACAUGGCUGGGAAACGCAAAAGGAAAGGGGGAAAUGAACCCGUAAAGAAGGAUGUCACCCCCGAGCCGAACGAUAAUGCGGUUGGUUGGAGAAAUUUCUUCAAUGCGAACUACAAAGCCCUUCGAGCAGCUGAGAAGGGAUU